rnacentral:rRNA from 1 species
CCCUUAGAUGUUCUGGGCCGCACGCGCGCUACAAUGGUCUUCGCAAACGGAUGCAUUCUCGAAGGAGAAUGCCAAUCUUGGAAUCUAUGCCUUGGUCGGGACAGUUGCUUGCAAUUUUUCGACUCGAACCAGGAAUUCCUUGUAAUCGUGAUUCAUCACAUCACGAUGAAUACGUCCCUGCCCUUUGUACACACCGCCCGUCGCUCCUACCGAUCGAAGAGUUAGGUGAAUUGUUUUGAUCGAUAAGAUUUGACUAUGGUCAACUCUCGUUGUGAAAUUCUGUAAAUCUGACUGUUUAGAGGAAGGAAAAGUCGUAACA